CACUCCUACGGGAGGCAGCAGUGGGGAAUUUUGGACAAUGGGCGAAAGCCUGAUCCAGCAAUGCCGCGUGUGUGAAGAAGGCCUUCGGGUUGUAAAGCACUUUUGUCCGGAAAGAAAUCCUUGGCUCUAAUACAGUCGGGGGAUGACGGUACCGGAAGAAUAAGCACCGGCUAACUACGUGCCAGCAGCCGCGGUAAUACGUAGGGUGCGAGCGUUAAUCGGAAUUACUGGGCGUAAAGCGUGCGCAGGCGGUUUGCUAAGACCGAUGUGAAAUCCCCGGGCUCAACCUGGGAACUGCAUUGGUGACUGGCAGGCUAGAGUAUGGCAGAGGGGGGUAGAAUUCCACGUGUAGCAGUGAAAUGCGUAGAGAUGUGGAGGAAUACCGAUGGCGAAGGCAGCCCCCUGGGCCAAUACUGACGCUCAUGCACGAAAGCGUGGGGAGCAAACAGGAUUAGAAACCCGUGUAGUCCCAUGA
rnacentral:rRNA from 1 species